GUGAGUCACGGUGUACUGAAAUAAUUGCUGGGACGGUCGUUGGAACGAAAAGUGCUGACUGAUGGUAAGUGCGCGCAAGUGGAUAGAACGAAAUCAUCUUGCUGAUCACGUUCCAAGUGAAUGAAUCGGACGGAGCUGUCGAGCCUGUAUUAUGUAUAAUGUACGUACAUACAUGCAGUUUUCGUGUAGAAGACGCGUACGUGUUCGUAAUCAGUGAUUCCAACGAGGAAUGUCGCGACACACCUGAAUAGGCGAGGUAGGUAGAAUCUACGAUUCUCUCUUCUCAGUGGUAUGUAACGCGAGCUCGAUACGUAUCGUCCAGUUCUCGAUAUUCCGAUUCCGUUCUAACUCUUUCUCAGCUUUUACUUUAGAUACAACAGCGGAGAAUGUCUGGAUAAUGAACUGGUUCUAAUAUCGCAUACGAUAUUGGGACGUUUCGCCAGCAAUUUUUCGUCUCUUGUUGCGCACCAGGAAUUUCGAAGAAAAAAUUGACCGACGAUCGUGAAAAUUUAUAAUUAACGAUUCGAAACGGUAAUACCCACGUAAUAAUCGGUCGCAUUUAAUUCGACGAUAUUACGAUAAAAGCGUUUAGAUGCUUUAUUAUUCGAAGAAUUAUCCCAACAGCUUGCACCAUGAUUAUACGUAAUCCUAAUAAUCGAGCGUUCAAUCGUACUAUUUCAGAAAAAUUUGCAAAUUGAAUUGAAUAUCUUUCUUUGCCUUCUCUUACGUCUUUCAUUCUUACGCUCGAACGAACGUUCUUCUCUAGAACCAGGCUUCUCUAUUAGGCUACGUUGAACUGUAUUUACAAUGUGAAUACGGUAGGAAGAUGACGCGAGUUGUACGAUGAUACGCGAAGAAAGAGGAAACAGACGGCAAGAAACUGUCGAUGCGAAGGGGGAAAAACAAAAGCAGGCGUGCAACGAGAGCAAUGUCGUUAACAGCUGGUACGGUUGAAAGUCUAGGAGACAGACAGACAGGCAUCGAGCCUUUAAAGUCGAACCAGUAUCCGAAGGAGAGACAACGUCGCCUUGUUGCGCAAACACUCUACUUUCACUAGCCACGCACAAGCGAAACUCUGGCUCGUGUAUGCGCCCGUGCCCUUGCACGAUCCACGCUGCGAAUCGAUCGAAAUGUGCCACGAAACGAUUUAUAUAACUUGUUAACGAUAAUUCUUUCCACGGUGUACAAAAACAGGCUCUAUAAGAGGACUCGGAAAUUUAAUUAUUUUCACCAGCCUUACGUAGCAGAUUAUACACCCUUGUAUCGAGACCUAGGCGGAAACGGGCCGAGAAAUUGAAUCGUCACUAACUGUGUGACAGAUGAACACGGAGGACAAGAACACGCUCUAUGCAUCUCUGUCUGUCUCUCAAGAACGACAACUUCCUUCAUCGUCCAUGUUGAUUUUUCACGUUGUCUGUUGAUUAGACACGACUCAAUUUUCCAACUCUCAAUUUUCAGUUUUCCCUAGCAAGUGUCGAGAGAGCUGUUUGUACGAUCGUGGUAUUGCGCAGCAAACAUCUAGAAAGGUUCGAAGGUUCGAAGAACUGCGAAGAGAACACGUGCCGACACAUCGCGAGAAACUUUUCAAACUUGCCAACUUUCCAUACGAUUAAACAUUUUCGAUCUAAUGUGUAUAUAUAUGCUGUGGUAUAUGCUGCGAUACAAUAUACAAUAUAUGCUAUCAAGGAUAUUUUUGGCCAGAAAAUUCUGUAACUGAUAAUUUAUGCAAAAACAUCCUGCAAAUUCUGCGUUCCUUCCAAAUUAAGUUUUCGUAUAGAGGAAAUUUAUUUUACAUAUUAAACGUAAAAGCGCUUCAAGUUUAACAUAGGAUUACAAAUAUUCAAAAUAUAUACAUAUGUUUAUACCUUUGUGCAUAUAAAUGGCGAAAAUACAUAUACCAUUCGAUCCAACUAAUAAAACUUUCGUUUUAUAAACAGCUGGGAAAUCAUUUUCAUUUUCAUUUUCAUUUUCAUUUUCAUUUGAGAUCGGCAUAUCGGCAGUAAACCGUGAAAUUUGGCAGUAUUAGUUUUCUUUUUUUCUUUCUUUUUUCCUUUCUCUAGAUUUCGGUAUAGGACAUGGAAAAUUGUUUACCGAGGACGAAAUAUUACAAAUCAUAUUACUAACAUCGAAGCAAGAAAUGUAGUCGGCGUUAAAAAUUUCAUAUAGGUAUUUUACAUCAGAGCCGAAAUAUUGCGUGGGAUUUAUUACACAAUUCAGAAAAACGUGGUAAACAGGAGGAUACUGGUCAAUCGAAAACAAUAAAUUCUUACCAUGAACGUGUGACUUUAAGAAAAGCGUAAAAUUCAUUUUCGGCAGUAUGACACACCGUUCCUCAUAUACAUACAUAUAUAUAUAUAUAUAUGUAUGUAUGCAUGUAUGUAUGUAUGUAUGUAUGU